GAUGAACGCUGGCGGCGUGCUUAACACAUGCAAGUCGAACGGGAAUGUUUCGCUGAUGCGAUUUCGGUCAAAUCUUGAAGCAUUUUAGUGGCGGACGGGUGAGUAACGCGUGGGUAACCUGCCCUGUACAGGGGGACAACAGUUGGAAACGACUGCUAAUACCGCAUCAGCGCACAGCUUCGCAUGAAGCAGUGUGAAAAACUCCGGUGGUACAGGAUGGACCCGCGUCUGAUUAGAUAGUUGGUGAGGUAACGGCCCACCAAGUCAACGAUCAGUAGCCGGCCUGAGAGGGCGAACGGCCACAUUGGGACUGAGACACGGCCCAAACUCCUACGGGAGGCAGCAGUGGGGAAUAUUGCACAAUGGGAGAAACCCUGAUGCAGCGACGCCGCGUGAGUGAAGAAGUAUUUCGGUAUGUAAAGCUCUAUCAGCAGGGAAGAAAACAAUGACGGUCCCUGACUAAGAAGCCCCGGCUAACUACGUGCCAGCCGCCGCGGUAA
rnacentral:rRNA from 1 species